CCCCCCCCCCCCGCAGCUCUUUUGGAGGAAGUGGUUUCGAUUGAUUGUGGUAGCUGUUUAUCACAAAACUCACUGCCAACUAUCGAUAGCUAAAGUGGCAUUGGGGCCCUGUGGGUGGUACCAGGGCAGGGGACGGAUGAGAAGAUGGCCUUCCGUUUGAGAAGCGAGGAUGGGAACACGUUGUCUCAACCGGCUGCGUCCUAGGUUUCCAUUGUUAGCCUGGCUCUUCCAGGACUGGGCACCAGAAUCCAACUGAUGACUUUCAGCCUGGGCUAGAACAAGUCUGUCUCAAAAGCCAACCCCGGCAGCUGGAGAAAUGCCUCUAAGUUAAAACGCCUUUGCUUCUCUUCAGGACUGGGGUUUGGAUCCCAGCACCCGUGUUAGGCAGCUCCCAAACAGCCUGGAACUCCAGUUCCGGGUGAUCGGAUGCCCUCUUUUGGCCUCUACGGGCACCCCCUUACUGCGGCAUUACCAGUUCCAGGCCAGUAAGGGAACCUGAACCAAAGCGGAAACAGCAACAACUAAACAAAAGGUAGCCACGGGGGGUUGUAACUCGGCAGGAGAGCCUCUGGCCUGCCGGAAAUCCCGGAGUUAACCCCACCCCACACUGCCGAAAGACAGGGGCUGGGGAUGGAUGUUAACUUGGAUGUGUGGGUCACUUGGUAGUCUAUCCGCCUGGCACGCUCAAAUCCCGUGUUUGAGCCCCAGCACAGCCUAAACCAGGUGGUGUAAGCAGCACAUGCUUGUUCCUUCACCCAGGAGGCAGGAGGAUCGAGAAUUCAAAGUCAUCCUUAGCUUCACUGUGAGGCUGAGGCUAGCCUGAGCUCCAUAAACCCCUGUUUCAAAACAAAACAGAACCAGCACCACGUAGAAAACAGGAGCAGGGACAAGCGCCCACGAGGGAAACCGCACGUGGCCCAGGCGCGCCGCCAGGCUGGCCGUUUGUUGUGAACUGUGCUCACGCCCCAGCGAGGACACUGCGGAAAGAGGAAGCCUGCAGCUGUGCCCGAACUUCCCAGAAUCCAUCCCGACGCACCCUCUCCCGCGGCUUCGGAAAUUGUAGAAUCAGGAUCUUCUACAAUUGAGACUACCCUCAAGCUCACAGUGAGUCAAAGCUGGCCUUGCGGUCCUGGUACCCUUGCCUCUACCUCCUGAGUGUUGUGAUUACGGGCAUGCGGCACCUCGCCCAGCUCCAGGAAGCUUCCAUCUUCCUAAACUGGAAUACAGUCACACAACGACUCCCCAUCAGCCCACCCGACCACUACUGUACUUUUGGACCCUAUGAGUUGGACCUACUCCAGGUCAACUCUAGGUUGUCAGAUACCCUUGCGAAGAGGGGGCGACACCCACCCCGGCUCAUCUGGAUGUGGACGCUAAAACUCUGGAUUUCACCUUUCCUGGAAUCACUUUCACUUUGGAAAGAAAAUCUUGACCUAAAGACAGGGAAGCAGAACUAGCUUCCCCAUUCUCACAUUUAGGCCUGGCCCUGGAGGAGGAUCGCUUGGGGGCUGAUCAUUUAUGGGAUCUGAUUAAGGGCUUUGGCCGAGAUUUGCACCGUCUCUGAGAGAGGCCCUAUCGAUUUGGAAGGACGCACGCAGAGGGAGCUUCUGUUUGUCACGUUCUCCAAAGAAACCACGAAAGAACUACAGUCAGCCGAGUGUGCAAGGGAGGAAGAGGCCAGGGCCUGUCUGCAGGAAGCUGGAGACGCAGCGGUCUGCAUAAAGGCGCACAAGCUUGAUGACUCCGCAGGAGAACCAGUGUCUAGCCAGAAGCUUUGACGCCACGGGUAGGUGACUGUGUGACAGCAAGGAUUCAGGAAAGCCCGGGGAACGUGCAUGAAAUACCAGCACACUUGUAGGCAACUGCCUGAAACCCACAACUUGCCGCCUCUCGGAGUGAUUCCGCUCUGUCUACUUGGAGUGCUGGUCCUCCCUGGCCUUAGCGCCUCUUACGGGCUUAUUCUAGGGCCCUCUAAAACACACUGCCUGCAGAAGACUGCCCAGACUGCCCUCCCUUAGCUGGGACCAUUCUUGUUUCCUUUUUAUUUGGGUUUCUUAAAUCCUGGAAACCGAACCUGACGCCUCAGGAAUGAGUGGGAGGGAGGCUGGAGACUGAACUACAUAAGAAAGGGGGAAAGCAAUGGACAGGAAAGGCUUAGAUGUCCUUCAGCCUGCUGCCCACAGUGUUCACAUCCUGAGUAGCUACAUUCGAGCAUGGAAGCCAGGAAGUUGAUUUUGGAAUAGUCCCCUAGCUCCACCAUCCUAUCAUUGUUUUCUUUUUCUAAACAUUCUGUUUUGAAACAGGGUCUUGCUAAGUUGCCGAGGCUGACUUCGAGCUUGCCUUUUAGCCCAAGCAGCUCUUGAACUUGACAAGGUCCUCUUGUCUCAGCUUCUUGAUAUCUGGGAUUACAGGCCCAGGACACCAGGCCAGGCUUAAUCAUCCUUUGGUAUACAUCCAAUAGGGCAUCCCAUCUGGCAUUUACGACCUCUCUCUCUUUCUGUUUUAAGACAAGUCUCAUUAUGCAGCCCAUGCUGACUCGGAGUUAUAGCAAUUGCCUCAGCCUCUGUAGUACAGAAGCCACUGCUCUGGUUCCAGUCAUACAUUCUUUUCCUUUUUUUUAAUAAUAAUAAAAAAAAAUUAGCCAGGCAGCGGUGGCGCACACCUUUGGUUUUAGCCCUUGGGAGGCAGAGGCAGGUAGAUCUUUGUGAGUUCAAGGCCAGCCUGGUAUACAGAGUGAGUUCCAGGACAUCCAAGACUGCCCAGAGAAACCCUGUGUUAAAAACAAACAAAUAGUUAUACUUCGGAUCAUGAUAAUGCAAGCCUUUCUUUAAUCCCAGCACCCCAAAGGCUGAGGCAGGAGGAUCUCUGUGAGUUUGAGGCUAGCCUGGUCUACAUUGUGAGUUCUAGGACAGCAAUUUCUAGGACAGCUAGAGUUACAUAGUGAGACCCUGUCUCAAAAUAAUAAUAAAAAAGGAAUAUGUUUAGUGUGUGUGUGGGGUUAUGUGUCUGUGGAGAUCUGAGGUCAGCUUGGGCCCUAAUGUGAUAUUUCUUUUUGUUUCAUGUUUUUGUUUAUUCUUUUCCCAAUGUGGUAUUUCUUUUUUUUUUUUUAAAGAGACAAUUUAACCAGUUUAUUUUUUUUACAUUGUUUAAUUUUUAUUAUUAUUCUUAUUAGUUACAUUUUAUUAACUCUGUAUCCCAGAUGUAUCCAGCUCCCACAUUCCCUCCCAAUCCCACCCUCCCUCCCUCAUCUCUUCCCUGCCCCUUUCCAAGUCCACUGAUAGGGGAGGACCUCCUCCCCUUUCAUCUGACCCUGUUUUAUCAGGUAUCUUCAAGACUGGCUGCAAAGUCCUCCUCUGUGGCCUAGCAGGACUGCUCCUCCCUUUGGGGGUGGGGAGGUCAAAGAGCCUGCCCUUGAGUUCCCGUCAGAGAUAGUCCCUGUUCCCCUUCCUAUGGGAAACCAAUUGGUUACUGAGCUACCACAGGCUACAUCUGAGCAGAGGUUCUAGGUUAUAUCCAUACACGGUCCUUGGUGGAGUGUCAGUCCAAUGUGGUAUUUCUUAAUGACAUUUUCCAGUUUUGGUUUGUGUUCCAGGAUCUACGUUUUAGCAAAGGAAACCCGGUGUCUGUCAUUGGUGGUCCUUUCUCCUGGGUAGCGUAAAGUAGUGGGCUUUUCUGAUUUCUAGAAAAGGUCACAGAGAGCCCAGACUGUCCCGCCUGCACCUCACAAGGCCUGGUGAUACCCAGUGCCAGGCUGGUCCUCAAACUCAUUACCCUCCUGCCUCAGCCUCCCAGGUGCUGGGAUUACAAGUGUGUGCCGCCAUGCUAAGGCUCCACGUAGGUCGGCUCAGCACUCUUCCGUUGAGGCUGGGAAAACGCCUGCAGCGUGUAGUUUCAGGUUGUUGUUGAUGGACAGUUAAUGCUGCUCCUGGGACUUGCUGGUGUCAAACUCUGCCUGCUGGGAGCUCCCAGGCCUUUUUGGUUUUGCUUUGCUGUGUGUGUGUGUGUGUGUUGUGGGGUUUUGUUUGUUUUUGUUUUUUGUUUUACCAGUAAGCUUUGAAUUGGUUAGCUGUGCCUAGGGGAAUUUCCCUUCUGAGGCCAAGGCCUCCAAGUAACUGCUACCUUAUAAUAAGGUCUUUCUCUGCUUUGAUCACUUGAAGCCUGAGAGCAUGGUUUUGCUAGGGGGGCUGUUGUUUGAGCCUGUGUUUAAAUUCUAGGAAUACAUUUGGGUUUGCUAAUGUAACUUGAGAGAGCUGGUGAGUUAUUUUGGGUGUGCAUGGCCCGGCCCUGUAAUGCUAGGCCACUCUUGAUAAGGGCCAGCUAGAUUGGACCAGCUAGUUCCCUAAAAAGGCUCUCAUUCCAUCCAGCCCGGAGUGCUGACAUUGCAGCCACCGCUCUCUGGCCUGCAGGCCCGCACACUUUUCUCCCAAGCGGAUCAGGAAGCUGGAGGCAGGAAGAAAGCUUGUUUUUCUUUCCUGUAAGCCCUAGCUCCACCGUGAGCAAAGACUCUCCCCUCGUCUCACUCUGGAAACUAGGAAAAAUCAAAUGAACCCUCCCCACUCCCUGCCCUGGAGAUUGGUGUCAUGUGUCCCACGCUAGCCUUGAACUUGCUGAGUAGCCAACGGCGGGGGCGGGCUUACAUUUGCUAAGUAGAUGAGGCUGGCCUCGAACUUCUGAUCCUCCCACCUCUACCUCCCCAGUGCUGAUUCCAGACCUUUGCCACCACACCCAGCUCAAAUUAGCAUCGAUUUAAGCAUACUAAGGAGACUUCCGUAAAUACUUUGAAACCAAAGGACACACGGACAGAUGCCCGGGCUGGCACUCUUGAAGCCACACCCACGUUGGAAUGGAUUCCCAGCACAGGAGGACUGGCCAGUGUCAGGGCUCCUGGAUGGCUUGUCUGUAAGAUCAACGUGUCAGGCCGAGCAGGCCGAGCAGGGUGCACCCAGCACUUGAAAGCUGAGGCAAGGAAAUCAGAAAUUCAAGUUCUUCCCUUGUCACAUAGGGAGUCUGAGGCCAGCCUGGGCUACGUGAGAUGCUGUCUCAAAACAAACAAACAUCUAGAAAAACUGUUACAAGAGAAAAUCUAGGUGUCGAGGUGGAAAUAGUCCUUUGGGCCCAAGGCCUGCCAUAGAAUCUUCUACUAGGGAAAGCAGACAAAUUCCUGCCCCAGCUGGCUGCUGUACAGCAGUGUCACGGGGAGUCUUGGCUGACUCACAGUUUCGCUGGUCUCAGCCCAAAUGCCUGCCCUGAUACGGCACUAGGUUAUCCCUUCCUAGAAAAUUAGGCGCCUCACUUUGGCCCAUCUGUUAGGAAAAGACCUGGAAAGACGCGCCCUGUGCCGCCACCUAACGGCUGUUCUGCGUCAAGGCAGCUCCCUGGCUGUUUCUCUUCCUCAGCAGCACCCCUCUCCGCCCAUCCCACCAGCUUGGAGAGGCUCUCUCCGCGGAACCCAGGACUGUGACUAAGCCUGUCAAGUCUUCCAAAACUUCGCAAUGUCCUCCUCGUUGUUAUUUCCUGUCUGUUUCCCCGCCGUGAUUAACCGUAAAACUCUGAAGGCGGAGAGGACCAGGGUGCAUGUUUACCGGGAGGGGAAGGAAGCCCGGAGCUGGGGAGAAGGUAUCCCUGGGCUUAAGGAAAACAACAGCCUGGAGACAGGUGGGUGGAUGGAGCUGAUGGGAAGAAAGGCUGAGUCCUUAGGCUUGUGAGAAAAAGGAAGAAGCAGGUGCCAGUCAGCUGGCUCUGCCAGCCUUCCCAGUUUUAUCUUUUAAAAUAAUGAUUUGUUUAUUUGAGACAGGGACCCCUGCAGCAGCCCAAUCAAGCCUAUGUGCCUUGAAGUCUUUUUUCUUCCUUGACUGGGCCUCACGCUGUGGCCCUGGUACUCCACCGCGUGGACCACGCUGGCCUGGCCUGGAACUCCUAGAUACUCUCCUGCCUCUUAUCCCAGCUUCCCAGCUGCUGAGGCGACAGGAACGUGCCGCCAUACCUAAGUACACAUCUGUUUUCAAGCAGGAAAAUGAGGCAAACAGUAGCGUUACCAGCCAGCGCCGCAGGCUGGGGGCCGUGGUAGCAAACGGCACUCCCCUGCAGUACAAACGGCUGAAGAAGGCCGGGCACAUGGGACGCCUGCCCGGGAACGGUGAGAAUAAGGACACAGGGAGCGGUGGGGACUGUGGCGGUGAGGGACACCCCAGCUAAGGAGGUGACAGCCGCCGAACCACGGGUGGUUAUGAAUUUCAUGAACUAGUGCACCUGCACUGCCAGAGCUCGCCGAUUCUAAAGAGCUGGGAGUCCGGGGUCCUCUGUGAAGUCUCUCUUUUGAAGUGUUGGCGGCUAAUGUUGCUUUAAAAAAAAAAAAAAGAAAGAAAGCCAGCAUUCUGUGGGCCAAAUAAAACAUGUCAGUGAGGCAUAUUUAGCUCCUAGGCCGACUCUGAAAACUUGGAUCCAGGGCUAUUUGUGUUCCGGAAUCGUGACACGCCAACAGGACCCUUUCGAGGCAUGUGGCCUCCAUCAAGCAAAUGCUAGAUAACGGGAGAAGAAUGUGUGGAGUGCUUCGGCUCAGGGUUAGAGCGCAGACGGGGUCUUAUCCACAAGGCUUCAGAGGGGCUGCUUUGUCAUUACGUCACGUGUUUCUUGAACGUAUUCAACUAACUUCAGGAGCAGUGGCUGGCUGGGCCCAGUGACAAAGGCCUGUAACCCCAGCUCUUCAGAAGGCCGAAGCAGAAGGAUGUCAAGUAAGGCAACACAGUGACCAGAGAGGCCUAGGGAUGUGACCUAGAGCACUCGGCUAGCGCACACAAGGCUCUGGGUACAGUCCUCAGUGAUGGAGGGAAGAAAAUAAGCAUUUGUUGAGCACCAACUCUAUGCUAAACAAAGACAAGUCCAUCCUUCUCUGUGGAGACGCAGGUUCUGGGGUAGACUUUUAGGGCCGCCCAGGUCUCGAUCACAGCCACUCCGCUCGGCUGCCGUGGCUGCAAAGCAGCUUUAGGCACCACACAAGCCGAUGCCUAUGGCUGGGUCCCCCUAAAACCCCUUUCUCAGCAGGCAAUAAUCUAAGUUUGGCUUAUGGGUCAUGGUUUGCCAAAUUCUGACCUAGAAGAUUUAAGAGAAGGUUUUAGCU